CCUGUCCCUAGAGGCUUCGUUGUGGCUGCUAUGUCACGUGUGCAUCAGUAGGUGGCAGAGAGGAGAGAGGCUAUGUCUACACUUAGUGUUCUGACCUGUGAACGUCUGAAAGAUUAGUAGCUUAAUGCU